rnacentral:tmRNA from 1 species
GGGGCUGUUUGGUUUUGACAGCAAGUAGAAGAGGUGUGUAAGCAUGCAGUGCGUUGUCGAAUAGCACUUAAAUCAUAGGCGGCAAAAUUUAACUGGCGAAACAAAUUACGCUCUCGCUGCCUGAUUGAAGAAUAGUAGAUUAGGUUUUAUCUUGGCACAUGUGUCAAGACGAGACAUCUCUCGAAUGCCACGCCCCAAAGCGGUUCGAUCAAGAGGUGUAGAAAAAUUGGGGAUAGCGUCGGCUGGCUGCACAGACGGUGUGAAAUUUUAGCAGAUAAGGUGCCGAUUGGGUGGCUUCGGUCAUGUCGGCACACGAAAACAAAAACGAAGAUAAGCAUGUAGAAAGCAUAUUGCUUCCUUGUUUGGACACGGGUUCGAAUCCCGUCAGCUCCACGC